rnacentral:rRNA from 1 species
AUGAGAUCUUUCUUCGGUUGUAGCGUGAGCGAAAGGUUUACUUUGAGGUCUUAUGUUAGUAAUGAGAGGAGCGGAAGUUAUGGAAGAAUAGGUUGAAUUUGGUACUUUUUGUAUCAUGGGUCAUAGAGGGUAUUUCUGGGUUGUUGUUCCUGAAAGGCUUGGAGCUAUCCCCUUUAUUUGUUUAAGUGCUCGUGAUGUUGCAGUAUCAUGAGUAAAGGGGGGAUUGAGGUGACAUGUUUGUCGAAAAGCCUGAUAGCUGGUUGACUGGGAAAUGCAUACAAGUGCAGCAGGGUUUUUGAGGCUUGUUACUAUAGGUUACAGGGUUAUAGGACUUUAGUGAGGCCCAAAGGGUUAAUCUUUUGGGUUUUUUGGUCGUUUUAUCGUGAAGUGGGGUUAAUGGUGCCCGUCUUAUGUUGAAGGUUUGUUCAAAGCUUCUUACUGGGGGUUUUCGAUUUUUACCGGUCUCUGUGCUGGAACUGUUGGUUUUUGAAUUAGUAUGACAUUAGUAAGUGUGAGGUGUAUUGGUUUUGAUGUUUUUUGGAAGCAAGCUUGGUUUAUUCUUGUAGGUUUUUUGGAGUAAUGUGUGAAAAGUAGGCUUAAGGAACUCGGCAAAUGGUUUCCUCGCCUGUUUAUUAAAAACAUCGCUCCCAGUUUUAAAGUGUUGGGAGUCGUGCCUGCCCGGUGGAUUAUAAAUUUCUAAACGGUUGCUGUUGGUAGCAGUACGAAGGUAGCGCAAUCACUAGUCCUUUAAUUGAGGAACGGAAUGAAUGGUGUGACGUGGGAAAGUCUGUCUCAAGCCUAAAAGCUGAAUUUUACCUUUGCGUGAGAAGGCGUAAAUGGUUUCAUUAGACGAGAAGACCCCAUCGAGCUUGAUGAGGCUUACCCCUUAGGGGUUAAGCUAAAGUUUAGUUGGGGUGACUGGGUGCAAGUUGAACGUACUUGAAGUUUUGUUUAUGUUGACCCUUCAUUGAAGGUCUGGAGAAAAAGCUACCGUGGGGAUAACAGCGUAAUGCUCUUGGAGAGAUCUUAUUGAAGAGAGAUGUUGCGACCUCGAUGUUGAAUUAAAGUGUUAUCCUGGCGCAGCAGUUAGGAUUGUGGGACUGUUCGUCCCUUGAAAUUUUACAUGAUUUGAGUUUAGACCGGCGUGAGCUAGGUCGGAUUCUAUCUUUGUUUUCUACCUUUCUUGUACGAAAGGAUCGAAAGGUUGGCCUAGGUUGGUUUGGGUUAA